rnacentral:rRNA from 1 species
AACGAACGCUGGCGGCAUGCCUAACACAUGCAAGUCGAACGAGACCUUCGGGUCUAGUGGCGCACGGGUGCGUAACGCGUGGGAACCUGCCCUUAGGUUCGGAAUAACUCCCCGAAAGGGGUGCUAAUACCGGAUAAUGUCUUCGGACCAAAGAUUGAUCGCCUUUGGAUGGGUCCGCGUUGGAUUAGCUAGUUGGUAGGGUAAAAGCCUACCAAGGCGACGAUCCAUAGCUGGUCUGAGAGGAUGAUCAGCCACACUGGGACUGAGACACGGCCCAGCCUCCUACGGGAAGCAGCAGUGGGGAAUAUUGGACAAUGGGCGAAAGCCUGAUCCAGCAAUGCCGCGUGAGUGAUGAAGGCCUUAGGGUUGUAAAGCUCUUUUACCCGGGAUGAUAAUGACAGUACCGGGAGAAUAAGCUCCGGCUAACUCCGUG